rnacentral:lncRNA from 1 species
CCGAAAGGUGUUGUGGAAUGUAAGACAAUUAGAAAAUCCAAGAUUGACCAUCCAAAGAUGGAAGGAAAACAAAGAACAUGCAGCCAUUUGAAUGUGUCUUCAUCGUCAUCGGUCUGCAAAGGAAUGGCGGAAGAUGAGUUAUAUUCCUCAUCUUCCAUCCAGCUAAUGGAGGUGUCCAGAGAAGCUCAAAAGCUGAACCAAGUGAGCCUGCAAAGGAAUGGCGGCAGAUGAGUUAUAUUCCUCAUCUUCCAUCCAACUGAUGGAGGUGUCCAGAGAAGCUCAAAAGCUGAACCAAGUGAUUC